rnacentral:rRNA from 1 species
GAUGAACGCUAGCUACAGGCUUAACACAUGCAAGUCGAGGGGCAGCAUGGUCUUAGCUUGCUAAGACUGAUGGCGACCGGCGCACGGGUGAGUAACACGUAUCCAACCUGCCGUCUACUCUUGGACAGCCUUCUGAAAGGAAGAUUAAUACAAGAUGGCAUCAUGAGUCCGCAUGUUCACAUGAUUAAAGGUAUUCCGGUAGACGAUGGGGAUGCGUUCCAUUAGAUAGUAGGCGGGUAACGGCCCACCUAGUCUUCGAUGGAUAGGGGUUCUGAGAGGAAGGUCCCCCACAUUGGAACUGAGACACGGUCCAAAACUCCUACGGGAGGCAGCAGUGAGGAAUAUUGGUCAAUGGGCGCAGGCCUGAACCAGCCAAGUAGCGUGCAGGAUGACGGCCCUAUGGGUUGUAAACUGCUUUUANAAGGGAAUAAAGUGAGUCUCGUGAGACUUUUUGCAUGUACCUUAUGAAUAAGGA